rnacentral:piRNA from 1 species
UGUACUCACAAUGUGGAGUUGUUCUGUA